CCCUUAGAUGUUCUGGGCAGCACGCGCGCUACAAUGGUCUUCGCAAACGGAUGCAUUCUCGAAGGAGAAUGCCAAUCUUGGAAUCUAUGCCUUGGUCGGGACAGUUGCUUGCAAUUUUUCGACUCGAACCAGGAAUUCCUUGUAAUCGUGAUUCAUCACAUCACGAUGAAUACGUCCCUGCCCUUUGUACACACCGCCCGUCGCUCCUAUCGAUCGAAGAGUUAGGUGAAUUGUUUUGAUCGAUAAGAUUUGACUAUGGUCAACUCUCGUUGUGAAAUUCUGUGAAUCCGACUGUUUAGAGGAAGGAAAAGUCGUAACA
rnacentral:rRNA from 1 species